rnacentral:rRNA from 1 species
AACACGUAGAUAAUCUACCCAGGUGUUUGGGAUAACUGACCGAAAGGUUAGCUAAUACCGGAUACGUUCACGAUUUCGCAAGAUAACGUGAAGAAAGAUGGCCUCUUCUUGAAAGCUAUCGCAUUUGGAUGAGUUUGCGUACCAUUAGCUAGUUGGUGGGGUAAGAGCCUACCAAGGCUACGAUGGUUAGCGGGUCUGAGAGGAUGAUCCGCCACACUGGAACUGGAACACGGACCAG